rnacentral:misc_RNA from 1 species
AAGUCGUAACAAGGUUUCCGUAGGUGAACCUGCGGAAGGAUCAUUACAGAGAAUUUGCCCUUCGGGGUAGAUCUCCCACCCUUUGUUUACAUUACCUUUGUUGCUUUGGCAGGCCCGUCCCUCGGGACCGCCGGCUUCGGCUGGCCCGCGCCUGCCAGAGGACCCUAAAACUCUUGUUUAAAUGUCGUCUGAGUACUAUAUAAUAAGUUAAAA